CUUGAACCUCAAAGUCAUUGUCUCUCAUUAAUGCAGAUGUUGCUCCUGGUAUUUAUUACAUUUUCUCUCCUAAAAGAGACUGCUGGUGAAGAUGUCAUAAAACCAGUCUUCACACAGAUGCAUGUUUUGGAAGGAAAAGAUGUAACACUGAUCUGCAACUACACUGAAGCUGUCAACAAUUUACAAUGGUAUCGUCAGUAUCCCGGAUCCAAACCUGAGCACCUCAUCAUGUUCUUUGAGACCAUCCCCAAAUCAGAGGACGCUCUCCGUCUGACCGCUGCGGCUGAUAAAGCAGCUAAAAGUAUGAGUCUGACGAUCUCUUCUACAGAAGUGAAAGACUCUGCCAUGUACUACUGUGCCCUGGUGCCCACAGUGACAGGAAACACAACUACACUGUACAAAAACAGAGUUAGAAGUGAAAUUCAUGAUGAAAAACAAGAUCCUCCUCAUUUUAAAAACUAACUGUAACCAUUAGAAAGAAUUUGUGAACAAAAUACAGUAAUAAAACUCUGGAACAAAAGUACUUAAACUAGAUUAUUUGAAUAAAAAAUUCAUUCUUAAAAUAAAGCAAGUUACCAGCUCUGAAGGUGUUGUACAUCAUUAUAAACAUAUACCAGAAAGAUUACGCAGUUUCAGUGUGUUCCAAACAAUGUUUAAAUACAAGACAUAUCAUGUUUCUUCAAGAUAC
ensembl:lncRNA